UUCCAAGACAACAUCUCUGGACCCACCUGGGGCCUGGGGAAGCUCACUGCCCUGAAGGAAAGCAGGAUCACCAGCAAGAGAACGAGAGCACAGAUACAUGGAAUCAGGACCAGCAAUAGGAACCGGAGGGGGUUAGCAGUCGCCAGCUUCUGAGAGCAGCCAUUGCCCAUGUUAUUGUCAUCAGCUCUCAAGACCUAAAGUAAAAGAGGAAAACGCAACAUGGUUUUAGUUUUACAAUACAAGGGACAAGAUGGAGGAAGAUGAACAAGAUGGCGCAGUCCCUGUUGCUUCCAGGUUCUUCAUCACCAACUUGCCUGUGCCCGGGAAAGUGUGGAUCAACUGAGCAUGCGCCACAUGACAUCAAUCUGAAGAAACCGAAACUUACCCGACCACGCCUAUGAAGACGCCCCUAUCCCGCCCACUGCCCUCCCCUUUCCGGUGCCAAUGCAUAAAAGUUCACCACCAGCAGGAGCCGGCGUGACUUCCCUGGCCCCAUACUUGUGGACCGGAGAACCUCGCCCGAGAGUUGCUGCAUAUUUGCAAUUAAAACCUGCCACUUUCUUACUUAA